rfam:Salmo salar isolate Sally breed double haploid chromosome ssa21, whole genome shotgun sequence.
UGUAUUCACUACUGUAAGUCUCUCUGGAUAAGAGUGUCUGCUAAAUGACUAAAA